UCCGGUUUGUCACCGGCAGUCUCACUAGAGUGCCCAACCAAAUGAUGGCAACUAGUGACAAGGGUUGCGCUCGUUGCGGGACUUAACCCAACAUCUCACGACACGAGCUGACGACAGCCAUGCAGCACCUGUGUUCUGGCUCCCGAAGGCACCCUCGCCUCUCAGCAAGGUUCCAGACAUGUCAAGGGUAGGUAAGGUUUUUCGCGUUGCAUCGAAUUAAUCCACAUCAUCCACCGCUUGUGCGGGUCCCCGUCAAUUCCUUUGAGUUUUAACCUUGCGGCCGUACUCCCCAGGCGGUCGACUUCACGCGUUAGCUGCGUCACUCAGUGCAUUGCUGCUCCGAACGACUAGUCGACAUCGUUUAGGGCGUGGACUAC
rnacentral:misc_RNA from 1 species